CAGUCGCCGCGGGAAUACGAAGGGUGCAAGCGUUACUCGGAAUUACUUGGCGUAAAGCGUGCGUAGGUGGUGGUUUAAGUCCGUUGUGAAAGCCCUGGGCUCAACCUGGGAAUUGCAGUGGAUACUGGGUCACUAGAGUGUGGUAGAGGAUAGUGGAAUUUCCGGUGUAGCAGUGAAAUGCGUAGAGAUCGGAAGGAACAUCUGUGGCGAAGGCGACUAUCUGGGCCAACACUGACACUGAGGCACGAAAGCGUGGGGAGCAAACAGGAUUAGAUACCCCCGUAGUCCCUGUCUCUUAUAC
rnacentral:rRNA from 1 species